rnacentral:rRNA from 1 species
GUAACGAGCGCAACCCUUGUCCUUAGUUACCAGCACGUUAUGGUGGGCACGUCUAAGGAGACUGCCGGUGACAAACCGGAGGAAGGUGGGGAUGACGUCAAGUCAUCAUGGCCCUUACGGCCUGGGCUACACACGUGCUACAAUGGUCGGUACAAAGGGUUGCCAAGCCGCGAGGUGGAGCUAAUCCCAUAAAACCGAUCGUAGUCCGGAUCGCAGUCUGCAACUCGACUGCGUGAAGUCGGAAUCGCUAGUAAUCGUGAAUCAGAAUGUCACGGUGAAUACGUUCCCGGGCCUU